GAGUUUGAUCGUGGCUCAGGACGAACGCUGGCGGCGUGCUUAACACAUGCGAGUCAAGGGGGCCCAGCAAUGGGCAACCGGCGAACGGGUGCGUAACACGUGAGCAACCUACCGAAAUGCGGGGGAUAGCCGGCCUAACGGCCGAGUAAUACCGCAUACGCUCUUUAUGAGGCAUUUCAUGGAGAGGAAACCUACGGGGUAUUUCGAGGGGCUCGCGGCCUAUCAGCUAGUUGGCGAGGUAACGGCUCACCAAGGCAACGACGGGUAGCUGGUCUGAGAGGAUGGCCAGCCACAUUGGGACUGAGAUACGGCCCAGACUCCUACGGGAGGCAGCAGUGGGGAAUCUUGCGCAAUGGCCUAACGGCUGACGCAGCGACGCCGCGUGUGGGAUGAAGCUCCUCGGAGUGUAAACCACUGUUGCCCGGGACGAAUAGCUCGAUUAAUCGAGCCUGACGGUACCGGGUGAGGAAGCACCGGCUAACUCCGUGCCAGCCGCCGCA
rnacentral:rRNA from 1 species